rnacentral:rRNA from 1 species
UACGUAGGGUGCAAGCGUUGUCCGGAAUUAUUGGGCGUAAAGAGCUUGUAGGCGGUUUGUCGCGUCUGCUGUGAAAGUCGGGGGCUCAACCCUCGAAAGCCGGUGGAUACUGUCGGACUAGAGUGCGGAAGAGGCGAGUGGAAUUCCUGGUGUAGCGGUGAAAUGCGCAGAUAUCAGGAGGAACACCAAUUGCGAAGGCAGCUCGCUGGGACGUAACUGACGCUGGAGAACGCGAAAGCCGUGGGGAGCAAACAGG